GAUGAACGCUGGCGGCGUGCCUAACACAUGCAAGUCGAGCGAUUCUCUUCGGAGAAGAGCGGCGGACGGGUGAGUAACGCGUGGGUAACCUGCCCUGUACACACGGAUAACAUACCGAAAGGUAUGCUAAUACGAGAUAAUAUGCUUUUAUCGCAUGGUAGAAGUAUCAAAGCUCCGGCGGUACAGGAUGGACCCGCGUCUGAUUAGCUAGUUGGUAAGGUAACGGCUUACCAAGGCGACGAUCAGUAGCCGACCUGAGAGGGUGAUCGGCCACAUUGGAACUGAGACACGGUCCAAACUCCUACGGGAGGCAGCAGUGGGGAAUAUUGCACAAUGGGCGAAAGCCUGAUGCAGCAACGCCGCGUGAGCGAUGAAGGCCUUCGGGUCGUAAAGCUCUGUCCUCAAGGAAGAUAAUGACGGUACUUGAGGAGGAAGCCCCGGCUAACUCCGUGCCAGCCGCCGCGGUAAUAC
rnacentral:rRNA from 1 species